rnacentral:rRNA from 1 species
UGGGGAAUAUUGCGCAAUGGGGGAAACCCUGACGCAGCGACGCCGCGUGCGGGAUGAAGGCCUUCGGGUUGUAAACCGCUUUUGAUUGGGAGCAAGCUUUCGGGUGAGUGUACCUUUCGAAUAAGCGCCGGCUAACUACGUGCCAGCAGCCGCGGUAAUACGUAGGGCGCAAGCGUUAUCCGGAUUUAGUGGGCGUAAAGCGAGCGCAGGCGGUUAGAAAAGUCUGAAGUGAAAGGCAGUGGCUCAACCAUUGUAGGCUUUGGAAACUGUUUAACUUGAGUGCAGAAGAGGAAAGUGGAAUUCCAUGUGUAGCGGUGAAAUGCGCAGAGAUAUGGAGGAACACCAGUGGCGAAGGCGACUUUCUGGUCUGUAACUGACGCUGAUGUGCGAAAGCGUGGGGAUCAAACAGG